AAGGCUGUAUGUGACUGGCGAAUCAAGUGGAAUGAACCACAGGGAAGCAUGCAGUUGGAACGAACCGAUCGCCUGGGAAAAGUAU
rnacentral:ncRNA from 1 species